rnacentral:piRNA from 1 species
UGUGGCAUACCAACAUCCAUGAUGAUGCCAGU